rfam:Schistosoma haematobium scaffold430_24, whole genome shotgun sequence.
GCAUUGCUGAGGAGUCCCAUAACAGGGCGAAACGGUCGUUCAGUAC